rnacentral:rRNA from 1 species
AGGACGAACGCUGGCGGCGUCGCUUAACACACUGACAACGUCGAGCGGUAAGGCCCUUUCGGGGGUACACGAGCGGGCGAACGGGUGAGUAACACGUGGGUGACCUGCCCUCAGCUCUGGGAUAAGCCUGGGAAACUGGGUCUAAUACUGGAUAUGACUCCACGGUGCAUGUCGUGGGGUGGAAAGCCUUGUGCGGCUGAGGAUGGGCCCGCGGCCUAUCAGCUUGUUGGUGGGGUGANGGCCUACCAAGGCGACGACGGGUAGCCGGCCUGAGAGGGCGACCGGCCACACUGGGACUGAGACACGGCCCAGACUCCUACGGGAGGCAGCAGUGGGGAAUCUUGCGCAAU